rnacentral:rRNA from 1 species
CAGGGAUUGCCCUAGUAACGGCGAGUGAAGCGGCAACAGCUCAAAUUUGAAAUCUGGCUCUUUCAGAGUCCGAGUUGUAAUUUGCAGAGGGCGCUUUGGCGUUGGCAGCGGUCCAAGUUCCUUGGAACAGGACGUCACAGAGGGUGAGAAUCCCGUACGUGGUCGCUGGCCUUCGCCGUGUAAAGCCCCUUCGACGAGUCGAGUUGUUUGGGAAUGCAGCUCUAAAUGGGAGGUAAAUUUCUUCUAAAGCUAAAUACUGGCCAGAGACCGAUAGCGCACAAGUAGAGUGAUCGAAAGAUGAAAAGCACUUUGGAAAGAGAGUCAAAUAGCACGUGAAAUUGUUGAAAGGGAAGCGCUUGCAGCCAGACUUGCCUGUAGUUGCUCAUCCGGGCUUUUGCCCGGUGCACUCUUCUAUAGGCAGGCCAGCAUCAGUUUGGGCGGUUGGAUAAAGGUCUCUGUCAUGUACCUCUCUUCGGGGAGGCCUUAUAGGGGAGACGACAUGCAACCAGCCUGGACUGAGGUCCGCGCAUUUGCUAGGAUGCUGGCGUAAUGGCUGUAAGCGGCCCGUCUUGAAACACGGACCAAGGAGUCUAACAUCUAUGCGAGUGUUUGGGUGUCAAGCCCGAACGCGUAAUGAAAGUGAACGGAGGUGGGAACCCUUACGGGCGCACCAUCGACCGAUCCUGAUGUCUUCGGAAGGAUUUGAGUAAGAGCAUGGCUGUUGGGACCCGAAAGAUGGUGAACUAUGCUUGAAUAGGGUGAAGCCAGAGGAAACUCUGGUGGAGGCUCGCAGCGGUUCUGACGUGCAAAUCGAUCGUCAAAUUUGGGCAUAGGGGCGAAAGACUAAUCGAACUAUCUAGUA